GCUAACAGCCGCGAGGCCCUGGGUUCAGCCGCUACUACACCAGGCCGAGUUCUGCCGUUAGCAUAAAGAAGUAGAUAAAGUGGACCAAAUAUACCAUAUGUCAAGUUCAGAGCUGAUGAGGAGGAAAUCACCUUUGGAAUAACGUCAAGUUUGAGAGGCUUACACUUGUGUUCCAUACUAUGCUGAAUGGUGUGGAAAACUCCGUGGUCACGCAAAGGAGUGGCUGGCACCUCUGUGUCCACAGACUGGCCAGUGGAGCUGGGGACCGAACCCAGGGCCUUGCGCUUCCUAGGCAAGCGCUCUACCACUGAGCUAAAUCCCCAACCCCGCAAAUAAAUCUUUUAUAAAAAGGAACUUUUGUUUCAAACACAAGAGACUAGGUUGGGCUGUAAAGAAAGAUGUUAAGGGUGUUCUAAUCUUAAAAGAAAGGACUGACUGGGCACGGUGGUACAUGUCUUUAAUCCUAGCACUCAGGAGGCAGAGGCAGGCAGAUCUCUGAGUUCAAGGCCAGUCUGGUCUACAGAGCAAGUUUUAGGACAGCCAGGUGUGUGUGUGUGUGUGUGUGAGAGAGAGAGACAGAAAGACAGAGAGAGAGAAAGAGAGACAGAGACAGAGAGAGACAUAGAGAGAAAGAGACAGGGAGAGACAGAGACAGACAGAGAGACAGAGACAGAGACACAGAGACAGUCAUGGGCCAAGGGUGUUAUAAGCACAAUGCUUAGGUCAGGGGGAACAGCUCAGGGAGAGUGUAUGACAGCAGAAGCCUAGAUGUGCUUUCCAGGUUGGAAUGAUUUUCCAGAAGUCGGAUAGCAGGUAUGCCUGGCUCUGGCAGCACUGCAUUUCCAGAUAUAAAGUUUCGAGUGGUCACAUGCAGGGAUUAACAAGCACCCUUUAAGCAGCUUUGUGGUAAGUAAAGGUCAGGUUGCGCUGCCAGAUGAGGUCUUGCCAGGUGACCUUCUGAUGCCAACAGGGUUAAUCUCGCCUUUGUGACUUUGGGGGCUUUACAACUGCAGAUGAAGGACUUUGUGUCUGCUUCACUUCAUCUGACAGCCAGACACCAACUGCGGGUGAGUUCUAGAUGCAAUGCCAGGCACACCAGGCAAACGCUCUGUCCCUGUUCAUCGUCCCCCAAACACUCUUCUCCUUCGAAUCGCACAUGUGCUAAGUGAGCUCUCCCUCACUGAGCUAGAUCCUCGGUCAUGCCCCUUGAGUCUGUCGGCUGCGGCACAGCAGCCCUUCAUACACCUUAUCUACGUGAGCCUCCCAACCACUCGGGGCUUACUAUCUCCAUUCAUUCAAGAGAGGCUAACUGCUGGGAGACAGCGUGCUAAGGCUGAGCAAACUCGAGGACUUGAGUUUGAAUCCUCAGCACCAUGUGAGAGCCAGGCCGAUGAUGUGCAUGUUCCCCGGUGCCAAUGCCAAGGGGGUGGAGACAGGGUGAG
ensembl:lncRNA LOC102548220 uncharacterized LOC102548220